GACGAACGCUGGCGGCGUGCUUAACACAUGCAAGUCGAACGAAGUGGCGAACGGGUGAGUAACGCGUAAUUAACCUGCUCUUCAGCGGGGGACAACAGUUGGAAACGACUGCUAAUACCGCAUACUGAAGGAGGGGCUUGCGUCUGAUUAGCUAGUUGGCGGGGUAACGGCCCACCAAGGGGAUGAUCAGUAGCAGGUCUGAGAGGAUGAACGGCCACAUUUGGACUGAGAAACGGCCGAGAACCCUACGGGAGGCAGCAGUGGGGAAUCUUCCGCAAUGGACGAAAGUCUGACGGAGCAACGCCGCGUGAGUGAUGACGGCCUUCGGGUUGUAAAGCUCUGUUAAUCGGGACGCGGUACCGGAAUAGAAAGCCACGGCUAACUACGUGCCAGCCGCCGCGGUAAUAC
rnacentral:rRNA from 1 species